CAGCAGUUUGGAUUGGCCUCUGGCACCAGGGCUGUCAACUCACUGGCUGACACUGACAAUGUAAUAAGGCCUGGCAUGAAACAAAAAUGAACUCAACAAAUCAUAGUUUCUUUGGGCCUUUGGAAAUAAGAACUUCAGGAUGAAGCAACAAGUUUCCAAGGGUUUUGAAGCUCAAGGAAUGGAGGAAUCCUGACAGGCUAGGGAAGGCUGAAAUGUCAAAGCCUCUGAAAGACAACAGCUGUUGACACGAGGAGACAGAGAACUUCAGGCCCCUGCUGCCCUAGUGAAGGCUGCUGCGGAACCACUCGGAAAAUGUAUCAUUACGGAGAGCUGCCAAUGGUGAUGGCGUCUCCCUGGCACCAGCUACACAAUCUGAAACCUGUCUCGGAUCAGUCACAUAGACUGGAAGGGUACAGAGAGACAAAACAUCUGAUGCAGGCACCAGGGUCCCGGGAUCCCCUUCCACCACCUUGUCCUUGAGUCCAUGGCAGAUCCUACAGAUGGAGGCUAUGGCCAUGCUGAAGAGAGAGACCACAUAUCCAUGUGA